AUGCCUCGGUGGGAGCUGUGGCAGAUGAUCUCUAUGAGAGAAGAAUAUAUGUACCUUCUGAUUGCAAGAUUGUCAUUGUCUGACAUCAAACAGAGAAGUGCGUCAUCUUAUGGCGCGGUCAUUCGUGAAAUCAUAGAUCAUUCUAGUUUUUUUGAUAGUUGCUUUUCUAGUCAUGAGUUUAGGAGCUUGAAUAUCGAGGCUCAUAAUUUAGCAAAGUAUGCUCUAUCACUUCGGGUUGGCCGCCAUGUUUGGUUAGGCAAUCCGGGUGACCUUAUUUUUGUCCCGGGUGACCUUAUUUUUGCCCUGUAA
rnacentral:rRNA from 1 species